rnacentral:rRNA from 1 species
CGGACCCUUCGGGGUUAGUGGCGGACGGGUGAGUAACACGUGGGAACGUGCCUUUAGGUUCGGAAUAGCUCCUGGAAACGGGUGGUAAUGCCGAAUGUGCCCUUCGGGGGAAAGAUUUAUCGCCUUUAGAGCGGCCCGCGUCUGAUUAGCUAGUUGGUGAGGUAAUGGCUCACCAAGGCGACGAUCAGUAGCUGGUCUGAGAGGAUGACCAGCCACAUUGGGACUGAGACACGGCCCAAACUCCUACGGGAGGCAGCAGUGGGGAAUCUUGCGCAAUGGGCGAAAGCCUGACGCAGCCAUGCCGCGUGAAUGAUGAAGGUCUUAGGAUUGUAAAAUUCUUUCACCGGGGACGAUAAUGACGGUACCCGGAGAAGAAGCCCCGGCUAACUUCGUGCCAGCAGCCGCGGUAAUACGAAGGGGGCUAGCGUUGCUCGGAAUUACUGGGCGUAAAGGGCGCGUAGGCGGACAUUUAAGUCAGGGGUGAAAUCCCAGAGCUCAACUCUGGAACUGCCUUUGAUACUGGGUGUCUUGAGUGUGAGAGAGGUAUGUGGAACUCCGAGUGUAGAGGUGAAAUUCGUAGAUAUUCGGAAGAACACCAGUGGCGAAGGCGACAUACUGGCUCAUUACUGACGCUGAGGCGCGAAAGCGUGGGGAGCAAACAGGAUUAGAUACCCUGGUAGUCCACGCCGUAAACGAUGAUUGCUAGUUGUCGGGCUGCAUGCAGUUCGGUGACGCAGCUAAUGCAUUAAGCAAUCCGCCUGGGGAGUACGGUCGCAAGAU